rnacentral:rRNA from 1 species
AUGCACGCUGGCGGCGUGCCUAAUACAUGCAAGUCGAGCGAACAGACGAGGAGCUUGCUCCUCUGACGUUAGCGGCGGACGGGUGAGUAACACGUGGAUAACCUACCUAUAAGACUGGGUUAACUUCGGGAAACCGGAGCUAAUACCGGAUAAUAUAUUGAACCGCAUGGUUCAAUAGUGAAAGACGGUUUUGCUGUCACUUAUAGAUGGAUCCGCGCCGCAUUAGCUAGUUGGUAAGGUAACGGCUUACCAAGGCAACGAUGCGUAGCCGACCUGAGAGGGUGAUCGGCCACACUGGAACUGAGACACGGUCCAGACUCCUACGGGAGGCAGCAGUAGGGAAUCUUCCGCAAUGGGCGAAAGCUUGACGGAGCAACGCCGCGUGAGUGAUGAAGGUCUUCGGAUCGUAAAACUCUGUUAUUAGGGAAGAACAAAUGUGUAAGUAACUAUGCACGUCUUGACGGUACCUAAUCAGAAAGCCACGGCUAACUACGUG